GGCCUGGCUGGCCGGUCCGCCUCACCGCGUGUACUGGUCCGGCCGGGCCUUUCCUUCUGGAGAAUCCCAUGGUCUUCAUUGACCGUGCGGUAGACCCAGGACUUUUACUUUGAAAAAAUUAGAGUGUUCAAAGCAGGCCUUUGCUCGGAUACAUUAGCAUGGAAUAAUUGAAUAGGACGU
rnacentral:rRNA from 1 species